rnacentral:misc_RNA from 1 species
CUCUAACAUAACAGUGAGUAAUGCAAUUAUAAAAGAUUCAGACAAUGGAGUGAGGAUCAAGACAUGGCAAGGAGGCACAGGUUCUGUUUCAGGCAUAUCCUUCCAGAAUAUACAAAUGGAGAAUGUUAGAAACUGCAUGAUCAUAGACCAGUAUUACUGCUUGUCAAAGGAAUGUCUAAACCAGACCUCAGCUGUGUACGUGACAGAUGUAUCAUACAGAAACAUUAAAGGCACUUAUGAUGUGAGAACCCCACCAAUUCACUUUGCCUGCAGU